rnacentral:rRNA from 1 species
CCUACGGGUGGCAGCAGUGGGGAAUAUUGCACAAUGGGGGAAACCCUGAUGCAGCGACGCCGCGUGAGUGAAGAAGUAUUUCGGGACGUAAAGCUCUAUCAGCAGGGAAGAAAAUGACGGGACCUGACAAAGAAGCCACGGCUAACUCCGUGCCAGCAGCCGCGGGAAUACGUAGGGGGCAAGCGUUAGCCGGAUUGACUGGGGGUAAAGGGAGCGGAGACGGCCGCGCAAGUAUGAAGUGAACUCCCAUGGCUUAACCAUGGAACUGCUUUGGAAACUGUGCAGCGGGAGUGCAGGAGAGGUAAGCGGAAUUCCUGGUGUAGCUGUGAAAUGCGUAGAUAUUAGGAGGAACACCAGUGGCGAAGGCGGCUUCCUGGACUGUAACUGACGUUGAGGCUCGAAAGCGUGGGGAGCAAACAGGAUUAGAUACCCUAGUAGUC